UACGGGGGAUGCUAGCGUUAUCCGGAAUCAUUGGGCGUAAAGCGCCUGUAGGUUGUUUAAUAAGUCCGUUGUUAAAGACUAGGGCUCAACCCUAGAGCAGCAAUGGAAACUACUAGACUAGAGUAUGGCAGGAGUAGAGGGAAUUUCUAGUGUAGCGGUGAAAUGCGUAGAUAUUAGAAAGAACACCGGCGGCGAAAGCGCUCUACUGGACCAUUACUGACACUCAGAGGCGAAAGCUAGGGUAGCAAAAGGGAUUAGAUACCCCUGUAGUCCUAGCCGUAAACGAUGGAUACUAGAUGUUGCGUUUAUUAUGCAGUAUCGUAGCUAACGCGUUAAGUAUCCCGCCUGGGGAGUACGCUCGCAAGGGUG
rnacentral:rRNA from 1 species